rnacentral:rRNA from 1 species
UACGUAGGUGGCAAGCGUUGUCCGGAUUUAUUGGGUUUAAAGGGUGCGUAGGCGGUUCUGUAAGUCAGUGGUGAAAUCCGGCAGCUCAACUGUCGAUGUGCCAUUGAUACUGCAGAACUUGAGUACAGACGAGGUAGGCGGAAUUACGGUGUAGCGGUGAAAUGCUUAGAUAUCGUCAAGAACACCGAUAGCGAAAGGCAGCUUACUAGACUGUAACUGACGCUGAGUGACACGGGAAAGUGUGGGGAACUCGAAAUAGGAACC